ACUCAAAUGAAUUGACGGGGGCUCACACAAGCGGUGGAGGAUGUGGUUUAAUUCGAAGCAACGCGCAGAACCUUACCAAGUCUUGACAUACCGGGAUUAUUUUCGUGAAAGCGGAGAAAUUUCCAGCAAUGGAGUAACCGGAACAGGUGCUGCAUGGCUGUCGUCAGCUCGUGCCGUGAGGUGUUAGGUUAAGUCCUUUAACGAGCGAAACCCCUACGAUUAGUUACCAGCGCGUAAAGGCGGGGACUCUAGUCGGACUGCCGCGCAAGCAGGAGGAAGGUGGGGACGACGUCAAGUCAUCAUGGCCUUUAUGACUUGGGCCACACACGUCCUACAAUGGAUGGUACAAAGGGUAGCAGACCCGCAAGGCGAAGCCAAUCCCAGAAAGCCAUCCUCAGUUCAGAUUGUGGGCUGCAAUUCGCCCACAUGAAGCUGGAAUCGCUAGUAAUCGCGGAUCAGCUACGCCGCGGUGAAUUUGUUCCUGAGCCUUGUACACACCGCCCGU
rnacentral:rRNA from 1 species